rnacentral:rRNA from 1 species
UGACUCUGCGCCGAAAAUGUACCGGGGCUAAACGUAUCACCGAAGCUGCGGACUGUUCUAACGAACAGUGGUAGGAGAGCGUUCUAAGUGCUGUGAAGUCAGACCGGAAGGACUGGUGGAGCGCUUAGAAGUGAGAAUGCCGGUAUGAGUAGCGAAAGACGGGUGAGAAUCCCGUCCACCGAAUGCCUAAGGUUUCCUGAGGAAGGCUCGUCCGCUCAGGGUUAGUCGGGACCUAAGCCGAGGCCGAAAGGCGUAGGCGAUGGACAACAGGUUGAUAUUCCUGUACCACCUCCUCACCAUUUGAGCAAUGGGGGGACGCAGGAGGAUAGGGUAAGCGCGGUAUUGGAUAUCCGCGUCCAAGCAGUUAGGCUGGGAAAUAGGCAAAUCCGUUUCCCGUGAAGGCUGAGCUGUGAUGGCGAGCGAAAUUUAGUAGCGAAGUUCCUGAUUCCACACUGCCAAGAAAAGCCUCUAGCGAGGUGAGAGGUGCCCGUACCGCAAACCGACACAGGUAGGCGAGGAGAGAAUCCUAAGGUGAUCGAGAGAACUCUCGUUAAGGAACUCGGCAAAAUGACCCCGUAACUUCGGGAGAAGGGGUGCUUCUUAGGGUGUUAAAGCCCCGAGAAGCCGCAGUGAAUAGGCCCAGGCGACUGUUUAGCAAAAACACAGGUCUCUGCGAAGCCGUAAGGCGAAGUAUAGGGGCUGACGCCUGCCCGGUGCUGGAAGGUUAAGAGGAGCGCUUAGCGUAAGCGAAGGUGCGAAUUGAAGCCCCAGUAAACGGCGGCCGUAACUAUAACGGUCCUAAGGUAGCGAAAUUCCUUGUCGGGUAAGUUCCGACCCGCACGAAAGGCGCAACGAUCUGGGCACUGUCUCAACGAGAGACUCGGUGAAAUUAUAGUACCUGUGAAGAUGCAGGUUACCCGCGACAGGACGGAAAGACCCCGUGGAGCUUUACUGCAGCCUGAUAUUGAAUGUUGGUACAGCUUGUACAGGAUAGGUAGGAGCCUUGGAAACCGGAGCGCUAGCUUCGGUGGAGGCAUCGGUGGGAUACUACCCUGGCUGUAUUGACCUUCUAACCCGCUGCCCUUAUCGGGCAGGGAGACAGUGUCAGGUGGGCAGUUUGACUGGGGCGGUCGCC